AAAAAGAAUGUAAGCUAGGUGAUUUUAUCCAUACAAAAUUCUCUAUGUGAUGGAAAGCAGAUCAGUGGUUAUUUGGGACAGAGGUAGAAGGAAGGAUGGAUUGCAAGGGUGCUCUGGGUUGAAUCUAUCCUGUCAAAUUUCAGAUACUGGAGUCCUGAUCUCCGUGGUGGUGGCAUCAGGAGGUGGGGCCUGAGGGAGGUAGAGCCUUCGUGAAUGGCAUUGGUGCCCUUGCAGAAGAGACCCCAGGGAGCUCACUGACCCUCUGCGGACUGAGAAGACGGCUGUCUCCGGAGAAGUGGCCCUCACCAGACACCUUGAUCCUGGACUGCCCAGCUUCCAGAAAUGAGUAGCAACCCAGCCUUGGUGAAGCAAAUGAUGACACCCUCAGGGUGGCAGAGCAACAGGCUGACUGCACCUGUUCACAGCAGCAUGACUUCAGUGACCUGGCUGUGUUUGCCAACAUUGAUGACGAGCCAGGGUUUGACUUGGUGCCCACUGCGAAUGACGUCCUUCAGUAGAUCUCCAAGAACUGCAGCAAAUGCUUUUCUGGGCUUAUUUUAGCAUCAGAGGGAUUUUGAAACAAGGUUUGAACAUUUAGCUUUGUCAUUUGGGGACAGUGCUUUGCGACAGCUGUGGAUUUACAAUUUCUUUCUUUCCUUCGUUGUAAGAAGACAGGAGCCAGGAG